CCUACGGGAGGCAGCAGUGGGGAAUAUUGGGCAAUGGGCGCAAGCCUGACCCAGCCACGCCGCGUGAAGGAAGAAGGCUUUCGGGUUGUAAACUACUUUCGACAGGGAAGAGUAGAAUACGGUACCUGUCGAAUAAGCCACGCCUAACUACGUGCCGGCAGACGCGGUAAUACGGUGGCUCCGAGCGUUAUUCGGAUGUAUUGGGAUUAAAGGGAGCGUAGUUGGGUUGUUAAGUCAGUUGUGAAAGUUUGCGGCUCAACCGUGGAACUGCAAGUGAUACUGGCAGGCUUGAGUAUCGUAGAGGGAGGCAGAAUUCGAGGUGUAGCGGUGAAAUGCGUAGAUAUCACGAAGAACUCCGAUGGCGAAGGCAGCUUCCUAAACGGACACUGACGUUGAGGUGCGAAAGUGUGGGGAUCAAACAGGAUUAGAUACCCCGGUAGUC
rnacentral:rRNA from 1 species